UCGAAUUGAAAGACUAUCGAAUGUGCAGUUAAUUGUGUGGGAACAGCUGAGUCUCUCCGUAGCUAAGGGAUCUUUCCGCACGGUGGCAACUGCAGUUUUUAGACUCACUUUGAGAAUCUGAUUGUAUCAUGGUUUCCCUAGAAAAUGCGAAUGCCGGUUUCCGCAAAAUUGUGUCAAAAUAUUCGGGUAGAUUACGACUUGAUUGUGUUACAACUUGAAAUUUGUUGAUACAACGGUUCUUAAAUUUGAUGACGUAUGUGUUGUGAUGUUCUUCAGCCACUCAUGUUCUGAUUAAUCUUUGAGCGGGUGAUUUCUGCAAACAACUGAUCUCAUUUUCCUUCUAAUCUUUUAUAGAAGUCUAAUCAUGAGGAAAACAUCAGAUAGACCCCAAGGAACAUUCUAACAAAAUAGAUGACCAGUACUUCUCGAAACUAUCAAGAUCAUGAAAAACAAGGAAAAUUAGGAACUGUUACAACUGAGAGGAGCCUGAGGAAGUAUGGCGAUUAAAUGUAAUGUGGUGUCCAGAAUGGAAAGGGACAUUAGGCAAAAACUGGGGAAAUGUAAAUAAAGUGUAGACUUCAGUUAAUGUAUUGAUAAUUAGUUAAUUAAUUGUAAUGAAUGUACCAUACUGAUGUAAUAAUAGGGGAAACUGGGUAUGUGUACUAUAUUCCCAGUUUUUCUCUAAUCUAAAACUGUCCUAAAAUUUAAAGUUCAUUAAAUACAUUUGGGUGUGUAUAUUUAGAAAUAAAAAAGGAGAAACUACCACUACACUAAAUAGCAUGGUUGAACCUCUCAGAUGUAAUGAUGAGCAAAGAAGCUGGACUCCAAACAGUAUACAUUCUUGUACUUGUAUGUUUCCAUUUACAGGAAAUUCUAGGAUAGGCAAAACCAACCAAUGAUGAUAAUGGUCAAAAUAGAGGUGUUCUAUGGAGGGUGCUGUUCAUUGGGAAAGGGCGUGAGGGAGCCUUGUGGGUGCUGGAAUGUUUUAUAUCUUUAUCUUGAUGGUGGCUCUAGGAUUAUAUAUUUAUGAAAAAAUUCAUCAAGGUGUAUACUUAAAUAUAGUCAAUAAUGUAAUGACUUUGAUGGCAGAUGCUAAACACAUUUAUCAUGAUGCGCGUUUUGUAAUGUAUGUAAUUGUCAAAUAGCUGUGUUGUACACCUGAAACUAAUAUAUCAACUAUACUUUCACUUAAAAAAAUCUUGUCCACUAGCAUAGUUGCAAAAAUCCCAAAUAUAAAGGAAUCAAAUACAAUUUGGUGAUCAACAUGGAUUUUACCACAGGAGUGGUUCACCAUGGAAAUCUUACUUAUGUAAUUCAACACUAUGUAAUCAUCUCAAUAUGUACCCAAAAAAAUUAAAUAAAAUUCA